rnacentral:lncRNA from 1 species
AGACAGUUUAAAGCGGUGAAACCUGGUGAAACUAUGUGAAACCUUGAAACCAUAGAGUUAAUAUAAUCUGCGUGUAUAUUAACUGUAUGCUUGAAGCUCCGUCGGUGGCAUUAAGCAAGAAAUCUCACCACCAAAAUGUUGACACUAGCAUUUUUUUUUUUUUUUUCGUUUCCAAGGAAAGACGUAGCGCUGAUCUUCUAACGUUCUGAAUUCAAGCAAAUAUCUUUUUCUGUUACUCCAUUUAUUCUUGACCCAAUUUGUGAAGGGAGAUGACAUGCUGCGUAGCCUACUGCAAGUCGGGCAGGGAAAAAGAAGCUUGGAGUUAGCUUUCACGAAUUUCCGGCAAGUGAGACAUGCCUGCAAGCCUUGUUGAAGGUUAUAUCAAGGAAAGAUUUCGUUCCAAAUGAAAAUUCCAACAACAGCCUCGUCUGCAGUCUGCACUUGGUGGAUUCCGAUUACUCGUGUUCCACAAGUAAACGACGCCUCAGGCCGGAUGCGGUGCCUAGCGUUUCUGAUGGCUACCCACGCUACAUGCAGCCUUCUCCAACCAAGAAACGGCAUAAAAUAGUGUGACAUCUUUUGAUCCCUCAUAAGAAAACUGUUAAACCAACAUUCCCUAAGGAAGGAAACAAAAAAAAUGUGGCUCACGAUUUCCACAACAAGGAUUUUAGCACAUCAGUUACUUCGACAACCAUUUUGUCGAAUCAUCCGUCAACCACAACAAGGCUAAGUCCUGAAGUUCUGACACCACCCACCAAGCUGUGGUUUCAGUAGAGGCUGCUGUACAAGUUCAUUGUCGUAUGCCACUUAACCCUUCCAAUACCAGGGCUGUAAAUCGUAUCAGGGUACAAAUAUCCAGGAAUAACAAGGCCAUUCAAAAACUACAGGAAGAAAAUAAACAACUCAAAAAGAAGCUUGAGAUGUUUGAAUAUAUAUCACAGUGCAUCGAGCGGGGCAAAAGUAUUAGCUUAGAGGGGACAGUUCAGCAUUUUGUAACUGAUUGAUCAAAUCUUGAAUGCAGGGACACCUCGUCCAGCGUGGUCCUCAGAUCGGAUGAGGAAAUGUGUGGUUUAUUAUUGCCCUAUCCCGAGGGCAUAUGCGCUAGAGGUCUGACAAUACUUUCAUCAAAAAGUACCUUGUUGCGCUAUGUUGGCAAGUCGUUCAACGACAGUGGCGUCACCCCACCAGCGAAUGAAGUCAAGAAAGAAGCACGGCUCUUCUCACUCAUGGUGGACGACUAACUGCACUGCUCCAGUUAGCUCAUUCGCACUUAUCCGGAAAUUUUCAAGAAUACUAUAAAUUAUUUAUGAACACAUCUACAUCCAGAAACAGCAUAGGCACAUUGGUAGCUUUAUUCUGUCCUUUGACAGAUAUCGGAUGGGCGUUUCGUAUACCUCACCAGUCAUCAUCAGUGACUGCGAGCUAGCAGCGAUUUAUGUUGCCCUUAUGUAUGUGCUGGAAGGAUUGCCAACAUGGAAGGUUGUCAUCCUUACGAAUUCUCUUGGUGCCAAUGGCAGACUCACUCAAAAAUACAUCAGCAGCCCUAUUCUGUACACCAUCGUAGAAUCUGCUGACAAAAUGAUUUCACAUCGUAAAGUGUUCCUCACUGCCCGAUGGAUCCCUUCGCAUGUGGGCAUCGAUGUGAUCACCUUUCUUCAAGUUGUAACCACGAUGAGUGUGGCUGCCUGAAAAUUUUGUGUAUGAUGGACAAUGCUCGUCUGCUUAAACAGUGACACCUCUUCUUGCAGCUCCUAGACCACCCUGUUUUGAACGGAUCGUUCCCUCCCUGUGCUUGUGGCUUGGUUCUGUGUUAUUACGCGAGGGUAUAGACUUUUGAGGAUGAGUGUACGGUCCAGUCUGUGCAUAUUGUGACUGUCAUAAAACAUUUUAACGUUUUAUAUCACACUGUCCCAAAUUCGUUACGUAGCACACUUUGCCGACUAAGGAAUGUAAAUGUUUUGGAUAUAAGUGUGCAACCAUGAACUUUUUCCUCUUUCUGGCCGGGUGUGCUUUCGACGCAGCCAGAUCCAUCAAGCUCCGCUGACUUUAGUGGACCUAACAGAUGUGGUCCCGUUUAUAUAUGUUUUUUGUGUGUUUUUACUUAGUUUUGUCUAAGUCUUUGGCUUUUUGUUCUUUAGUCUCCUAUCGUCCUUUGCUGUAUUUCUUCUCUUCUCUUGAAAAAGUAAGCAGGCAUUGCGCCCUUCUUAGUGGCAUUUUACA